AGUUCUAGAUUCAUGUGCCUAGCAACAAGAGCUGCUCAUUUCUCAGAACCUGGCAACUGUGGAGGUUCUUCCCAAUGGAUCCUCUCCCACUUCACCUUUGGUUUCCUCUUCCAUGUCAGUGAGUCUGAUCUGUGAUACUUUCAGGUCCUGGAUCACAUACUGUGGAGACAGGUCAUGUGGAAGUGUAAGGAUUGCUGAGAGAUAGUCUCAAACCAGCUGAUCUGCUUGGACAAGCUAGAGGAAAACUCAGUUUACUGGAAGGACUGGAGAAAGACUGAACUGCCUAGAAGUAGCUCAAGCCAAAUGGGACUGCUUUUGAAGAUGGAACAUUAAUCCAAUAAUUCUGAUGUACUCAUGAGAGAGGACACUAGGAUGCAAAUGCAUUCUGAUGACAUCGCCUAUGACAUCUUUCAUCUUGAACAAUCCUCCUGCUUCAGCCUCCUGAGAGCCGGCAUUAUAAGCAUGUACCACCAUGCUAGGUUCAUCUAAUUGAUCCACACAUAGACAGCAUCCUGGCUCUCUGUCAUUUAGAGAAUAUUAAAUCACAUUAAAACACCAUAGAGCACUAUACACAUUACACAAGCUAUGUGACAACUGCCAAAGGAGUUAUGUUUCACCUUCUGAAGUCUAUAAUUUCAGCACUCAGGGACAAGAGCCAAGAGGAUCAGCAGUUCAAGACUACAGAGCAAGUACAGAACCAGCCUGAAUGACAUGAGUCCGUAUUUAAAAACAAACACCCUCUGGCUAAAUGAAGGUAUACUCUCAUGAAGUUCAGUAAUUUCAUGAAAACUCAAAGCAAACCUCAGACUACAUAGCAGUUGCUCUGAUACCACUAUUCAAUAUCAAGUGUAAUAGAUAAUGCAGAACAUUUUAAAAAUAAGAACAUGCAUUUAUUUUUCAGAUAAAAUAGUAUUGCAGGUUUUCCCAUGAAUAUAUCUGUCUACCACAACACCAGUUAUUAUGACAAACUACAAGAACAACUACUAUAGAAUCACCAAAGGAAGAGAGGAAAGUAGAAAACAUGGAAAGGAAAUGCCAUCCUCCAAGUCUGAACAAUUGGCAAACAAGUAUGGGAUAUAUGUUUAUUCACUUAGGAACUAUCUUAUCUCCUGUGGAAUGAACCUUCUCCAAGACCUGAUGGAAUGACACUUUAUAGCUCUCAUUGUGCCUCUGUUGUAGACUCAUUCAUAACACUCAUCUGGCAUUAUACAUGAUAAAGGGAAUUCAUGGGUUCUCCUUUGUCACACAUGGACAAAACAAUCAUGUGCCUAGCAACCGAAGCAUCCUGGUCCACAGAACCCGGCAGCUGCUGAGAUUGUUCUCAACUGCUCCUCUGCUGUCUCAGAUAAACUUACCAGGCCUUCUUCCACGUGCAUACAUCUGACUUCCACACCUAACUUGGUAUGAUUUAGGAGCUCUAGUAUGGAUGAAUCCCAUUUCAUUGCAUCCAUUUUAUUUUACAUUGUAUGAACAGUAAAGCUGGCUGAAACCUGUACUUCUGUUCAUAACGCAGCUCUCUUUCCAUUUCAUUCCAAUGGCAAACAAUACUACGGAAUAAGCUUGGGUAACUCAAAACAUCAGGGCCUGUUCCACCUCAUCUAACUGUAGUCUAACAAAACAAGCAUCUGUCACUUCCUGUCUUUCAAUGGACAAUAAAUAUCUCCCACAGUGCAACC
rnacentral:lncRNA from 1 species